GGACAAGGUCUUGUAAAUAUAUCCUCCUGAGACCCAGCCCAUUAACUUGUGUCCUCUGUACUGGACAUUUUGUUCACAUGAAUCUCCUUUUAUUCUUUUGAUCUACUCUAUCAAUCCCUGCUGUAUUAUAAAAAGGUCAUCCUGAGCUUUCCAGUGACAUGUCAUGUGAUAAGCUGGGAUGCUGGGAACUUCCUCUUCCUUUUCAUUACAAAUUGGAAAACCUUUUUUUCCCCCUCGGUUCCCAGGAGGAUGUAGGGCAGAAUUUCUGAAAGUAACACUUUCUGUUAAAGAGACAGAAAGGAAUUAUAAUUUGGAGUCAUUUUUUUCUUUUUCAGAGAGGAAAAUCUAGCCUAGCUACUGUCCACAGACUAUUUACAUCAUCCCAACGUGGAACAUUAACUAGUUAUGUAAAC